AGUGAACGCUGGCGGUAGGCCUAACACAUGCAAGUCGAACGGCCGCACAGUAAGAUCUUGCUCUUACGGGUGGCGAGUGGCGGACGGGUGAGGAAUACAUCGGCAUCUACUUUUUCGUGGGGGAUAACGUAGGGAAACUUACGCUAAUACCGCAUACGUCCUACGGGUGAAAGCAGGGGAUCUUCGGACCUUGCGCGAUUGAAUGAGCCGAUGUCGGAUUAGCUAGUUGGCGUGGUAAAGGCCCACCAAGGCGACGAUCCGUAGCUGGUCUGAGAGGAUGAUCAGCCACACUGGAACUGAGACACGGUCCAGACUCCUACGGGAGGCAGCAGUGGGGAAUAUUGGACAAUGGGCGCAAGCCUGAUCCAGCCAUACCGCGUGGGUGAAGAAGGCCUUCGGGUUGUAAAGCCCUUUUGUUGGGAAAGAAAAGCAGCAGGUUAAUACCCCGCUGUUCUGACGGUACCCAAAGAAUAAGCACCGGCUAACUUCGUG
rnacentral:rRNA from 1 species